GAAAGUAAGCAAGGGCGCAUGGCGGAUGCCUUGGCUCUCGGAGGCGAUGAAGGACGUGAUAAGCUGCGAUAAGCUUCGGGUAGGUGCAAAUAACCUUUGAUCCGAAGAUUUCCGAAUGGGACAACCCGACAUUCUGAAGGAAUGUCAUCCUGCUUGGCAGGAGGCUAACGCAGGGAACUGAAACAUCUUAGUACCUGCAGGAAAAGAAAAUAAUAAUGAUUCCCCCAGUAGUGGCGAGCGAACGGGGAAUAGCCCAAACCGGUUAUGUUACGGCAUGACCGGGGUAGUAGGACUACGGCAUUGCAUGAAAACAGCAGAGAAGAACUUUCUGGAAAGAAAGACCAUAGAGCAUGAUAGUUGCGUAUUCGAAUGUUGUCGAAGCAUAGUAGUAUCCUGAGUAGCGCGGAGCACGAGGAAUUCUGCGUGAAUCUGCCGGGACCAUCCGGUAAGGCUAAAUACUCCCGAGAGACCGAUAGCGAACCAGUACCGUGAGGGAAAGGUGAAAAGCACUUCGAACAGAAGAGUGAAAUAGUUCCUGAAACCGUGCGCCUACAAGCGGUCGGAGCAGCGUAAGCUGUGACGGCGUGCCUUUUGCAUAAUGAACCUACGAGUUACCGUUGCCGGCAAGGUUAAGGGUCAUGAGACCUGUAGCCGAAGCGAAAGCGAGUCUGAACAGGGCGUAUAGUCGGUAGUGGUAGACGCGAAACCAAGUGAUCUACCCUUGAGCAGGUUGAAGUCCGGGUAACACCGGAUGGAGGACCGAACCAAUAAGCGUUGAAAAGCUUCUGGAUGACUUGAGGGUAGGGGUGAAAGGCUAAUCAAACUUGGAGAUAGCUCGUACUCCCCGAAAUGCAUUUAGGUGCAGCCUUGACCAUUACUAAUGUGAGGUAGAGCGACUGAUAAGAUGCGAGGGCUUCACCGCCUAUCAAGUCUUGAUAAACUCCGAAUGCGCAUUAGUUUGAGGUCAGGAGUGAGGGCAUGGGUGCUAAGGUCCGUGCCCGAGAGGAGAAGAAUCCGGACCACCUGCUAAGGUCCCGAAAUAACAGCUAAGUUAAACUAACGAAGUCAGAUUGCUAAGACAGCUAGGAUGUUGGCUUGGAAGCAGCCAUUCAUUUAAAGAGUGCGUAACAGCUCACUAGUCGAGGAGUUUGGCGUGGAUAAUAAUCGGGCAUUAAGUAUCUUACCGAAGCUAUGGGAUCAUUAAUGAUCGGUAGGGGAGCAUUCCACUCCGCGUCGAAGGUGAAGCGUGAGCUUUGCUGGAGCGUGUGGAAAAGCAAAUGUAGGUAUAAGUAACGAUAAAGGGGGUGAGAAACCCCCUCGCCGAAAGACUAAGGUUUCCUGAUCAACGCUAAUCGGAUCAGGGUAAGUCGGGUCCUAAGGCUCAGCCGAAGGGCGAUGCCGAUGGCAGAAACGGUUAAUAUUCCGUUACUACCUCCAGGAGUGAUGUGGAGACGCAGUAGUGACAAUGCCGCCAUCUGACGGAAUAGAUGGUUGAAGGGUGUAGAUGUUGAUCUUGGCAGGCAAAUCCACCAUGAGAAUCGAACCUGAUAGUAUGCCGCGUCCCUCGGGACAAGGCAAUAGUGCAUGUAAUCAUGCUGCCAAGAAAAUCCGCUAAACUAAAUCCUGUAGGUACCCGUACCGUAAACGGACACACGUAGUCGGGAUGAAUAUUCUAAGGCGCUUGAGUGAUUCACGGUUAAGGAACUAGGCAAACUGACCCUGUAACUUCGGGAUAAAGGGUCCCUACCCGGUGACGGGAGGGCGCAGAGAAUAGGUCCAGGCAACUGUUUAACAAAAACACAGGGCUGUGCUAAAUUGAAAGAUUACGUAUACAGCCUGACACCUGCCCGGUGCUGGAAGGUUAAGAGGAGAUGUCAUCGCAAGAGAAGCAUUGAAUUGAAGCCCCAGUAAACGGCGGCCGUAACUAUAACGGUCCUAAGGUAGCGAAAUUCCUUGUCGGGU
rnacentral:rRNA from 1 species